rnacentral:rRNA from 1 species
UACGUAGGGUGCAAGCGUUGUCCGGAAUUAUUGGGCGUAAAGAGCUCGUAGGCGGUCUGUCACGUCGGCUGUGAAAUCCCGAGGCUCAACCUCGGGUCUGCAGUCGAUACGGGCAAACUAGAGUACUGCAGGGGAGACUGGAAUUCCUGGUGUAGCGGUGAAAUGCGCAGAUAUCAGGAGGAACACCGGUGGCGAAGGCGGGUCUCUGGGCCGAUACUGACGCUGAGGAGCGAAAGCGUGGGGAGCAAACAGG